rnacentral:rRNA from 1 species
UACGGAGGGAGCUAGCGUUGUUCGGAAUUAUUGGGCGUAAAGCGCGUGUAGGCGGCUUUGCAAGUCGGGUGUGAAAGCCCUCGGCUCAACCGAGGAAGUGCGCCCGAAACUGCAGAGCUUGAGUACCGGAGAGGAUGGCGGAAUUCCCCAAGUAGAGGUGAAAUUCGUAGAUAUGGGGGAGGAACACCGGUGGCGAAGGCGGCCAUCUGGACGGAUACUGACGCUGAGACGCGAAAAGCGUGGGGGAGCAAACAGG